rnacentral:rRNA from 1 species
GAUGAACGCUAGCGGCAGGCUUAAUACAUGCAAGUCGAGGGGCAGCAUGAGUAGCAAUACUUGAUGGCGACCGGCAAACGGGUGCGGAACACGUACACAACCUUCCUUUCAGCGGGGAAUAGCCCAGAGAAAUUUGGAUUAAUACCCCAUAGAAUCUUGAAGAGGCAUCUCUUUAUUAUUAAAGCUUUAUCACUGAAAGAUGGGUGUGCGGCGGAUUAGAUAGUUGGCGGGGUAACGGCCCACCAAGUCUACGAUCAGUAGCUGAUGUGAGAGCAUGAUCAGCCACACGGGCACUGAGACACGGGCCCGACUCCUACGGGAGGCAGCAGUAAGGAAUAUUGGUCAAUGGACGAAAGUCUGAACCAGCCAUGCCGCGUGAAGGAUGAAGGUCCUCUGGAUUGUAAACUUCUUUUAUAUGGGACGAAAAAAGGUCAUUCUUGAUCACUUGACGGUACCAUUUGAAUAAGCACCGGCUAACUCCGUGCCAGCAGCCGCCGUAAGAC